ACUCAUGGGAGACUGCCGGGGUCAACUCGGAGGAAGGUGGGGAUGACGUCAAAUCAUCAUGCCCCUUAUGUCUUGGGCUUCACGCAUGCUACAAUGGCCGGUACAAAGGGUUGCGAUACUGUGAGGUGGAGCUAAUCCCAAAAAGCCGGUCUCAGUUCGGAUUGAGGUCUGCAACUCGACCUCAUGAAGUCGGAGUCGCUAGUAAUCGCAGAUCAGCAACGCUGCGGUGAAUACGUUCCCGGGCCUUGUACACACCGCCCGUCAAGUCAUGAA
rnacentral:rRNA from 1 species